rnacentral:tRNA from 5 species
GGGCACAUAGCUCAGUUGGUUAGAGCGCUGUCCUCACACGACAGAGGUCCCUGGUUCAAGUCCAGGUGUGCCCACCA